CACCGUUCCCCAUUUAAGAGCCUGGAGCUAACAAGCAGUUUGCCAAGUCCACACAGCCCAGUGCUGCUCAGCACUACUGCGAGGCAUCGGCACCGGACCUGGAGAGACCCUGAGAGAGUGGAGGAAAGAACAGCCGAGGAGCUGGGGAAGAGCCUGGGGUUGUGUUGAUGUGCGACGCUGGAUGGAGCCGGGGCUGAGUAAAGGGCUGGGUAGUCGCACUUCGAACUGACCCAAACGGGGCAGGGAGAAUUAAAUCUGCUCUCAAACCUCCCGGUUUAUCCGAGGUCUGACACACGGUUUCCCGACAGUUCCGCACAGCAGCCACUGCGUGGCAGGAGAGAUCAAGAGGACGGUUUUAUUUUCCGCGGCGGGCAGGAGGGGAGGGGUGCAGAGCGCGGCCGCCGGCAGGGGACGGGCGCCAUCUUGUCUCCCUGCGGCGGGCGGGCGGGCGGUGUGUUGGGACCCGCGGGCCGGCACGGCCGGGCAGGAAAGCACAGCCCGCCGAGCAGCGGGUGUGCCGCUGGCUGCUGUUCGUCACCGCUAAAGGGGAGAAAGGACCCGGGGAAGGCAGCUCGUACUUAACGGGCAGAGGCCAAGGCUGGCGCUGCCCGCCCGCCACAGAGCGCGCUGCCCGGGGCAGCUCCGCCAUGGAGCGUUCGGGCUGCGGGCCCAGGCGAAGCUGGCUCUGAGCAGAAGGAGCUGCCAGGACGUGGAUGUGCAGGACAGCUGGGCAGAAGAGUCAAAGCUGAAUUUAAAAUUAAUCCCCUGAAGUGCAGAUAAUAAAUAAACUCCAGAUAAUAAAUAAA